AUAUUAGGUGUAAAUCAUUGUGACAGAUAUAGACUAGAAAUUUAAAGUUUGCUGUAUCAAAUCCAGGUAGCAGUGGGCCAGAUUGAAACGGUCCGAUGCACUUCACUUGCAAUGCAGAUCAUCAUUUCUGGACAGCUUUCUACUUACUGCUGUGGACAUGAAAGGAUCGUCCUAGGCUUGCCCAUGCUGAUGGGCUGCACCACAGCAGUACUGGAGCUGAAUUCCUGUUAGAAAACAUCUUCAGGAUGCUUUGACCAGGACACCUCCAAUGUGAAGCAGUGGACAGCUGAAGAUGUUGCUGGCUGUUAUUACUAG